CUUGGGGCCACUACAGAUAACACCAUUUUGAAAGAAGCUGGAUUCCUCCUAUCAUGUAUUCCCUUUCUCUGAAGAUUUCAGUGAGGACCAGAUUAUUAAUUUCUCCAGGAAAAAAACUGCUAUGACUAAUAUUCAGCAUAAAGUCUGGAUAAUGCAGCUUUUAAUCAUCUGAGGGCCACUACUUAAGUUGUUCUUCCGAAAACAGGAAAGACCAUCCAGUGGUAAUUUGCCUUUUACACUUACAUAUCUAAGACCAUCAGAUCAAUUUUUGUC
rnacentral:lncRNA from 1 species